GGAGGAUCCAAGCGUUAUCCCGGAAUCAUUGGGUUUAAAGGGUCGUAGGCGGCUUUAUAAGUCAGUGGUGAAAUCUCCCGGCUCAACCGGGAAAUGGCCAUUGAUAGCUGUAAGGCUUGAAUUAUUAGGAGGUAACUAGAAUAUGUAGUGUAGCGGUGAAAUGCUUAGAGAUUACAUGGAAUACCAAUUGCGAAGGCAGGUUACUCACUAAUGGAUUGACGCUGAUGGACGAAAGCGUGGGUAGCGAACAGGAUUAGAUACCCUGGUAGUCCACGCCCGUAAACGAUGGAUACUAGCUGUUGGGAGCCAAUUUCAGUGGUAAGCGAAAGUGAUAAGUAUCCCACCUGGGGAGUACGUUCGCAAGAAUG
rnacentral:rRNA from 1 species